ensembl:lncRNA
ACCUUGCUCCCACCUUUUCUCUCUAAAACAUCUCCCUGAGCUUCUGUCCGCGGAGCAUGCCUUACCACUUCUGGUUCGGCGUUGCCCGAUUGCAAUCAAUUUUUGCUCAAAUAAACUCUUAAAAUGUUUAAUAUGCCUCAAUUAUAUCUUUUAACAGUUCUCCUGUCAGAAGAGGGAACCAAAGGAGACCCCCGACAGCCCCAGGAACAACAGCAAUGGAGCAUAGUUAUCAUAGGUGGAUGUUUCUGGUGACCAGGAUGAGACCUGCUGGGACACCCCACUCACUCCAGAGCCUGCAGACACCAUCCUGGAAAAACUCGCAGAAGUCAGCAAAGGAAUCACUAAGGACGAAGACUGCUCUUGAACUUCCUUGGAAGGGACCACACAAGGUCCUCCUCACUACCCAGACGGCAGCCAACCUUCAGGGUCUUAAACCUUAGGUUCACAUCCCUCAAUUAAAAAGGGCUCCUCCAGACUCUUGGAAGCGCACACCAGCUGGAGACCUAAAAUUAAAAUUGACUAGAGAGGUUCCUCCCCAGAAGCAGACGGCGUCUUGAGGUGGACAGCUCUCCCAAGAUCAUGGAUCAAGACCUUCAUCUUCAAUAUGAAACCUUUAUUCCUUUUGCCUUUCUGCUAUUUGUUUUUUUCUGUUAACGCAUGGGAAGACAGUGCUCCUUAACUCUGGCAACUAUCACUGAAUGUACUGCUAAAGGCCAUAGUUACAUAACAAAAGUCCCUCGACUUUCUUGCUAAGGUAGUUUUAGAUAAUAGAAUUGCUUUAAUUACUUCUAGCUGAACAUGGAGUCUGUGCCAUAGCAAAUAGCUCCUGCUGUACCUGGAUCAACACCUCUAGUAUUGUAGCAAAUACAGGAAAUUAACAAAAAAGCCACUUGGCUAAAACAGGUUGAUGCCUCUUCAGGUACAUUCUUUGAUUUAUUUGAUACCAAUUGGCUUGGUUCCUGGGGGCCCUAAGUCUGUUGGUGUUAUCCUCCUAAUAGUUGUCAUUGUAAUCUCCCUUGUGCACUAUGUUCUCUCAGAGAUCUUAAAUGCAUGUUCACAGCCAUCAGCAGUACAUCAGGUGGGCUCAUCGUGCCUGGACAAACAGAAACGAGAUGAACGGCAAAAAACAAUUCUUCCAUGGCUCUGACAUCAUAACCUAUGAGUUUCACAAUGAGACAAGAGCAACUUAACUCUGAUGGUGACUGAGAUUGGCACUAACAUCAAAUUUUUGGUCAAUCUCUCAUGUAUGAAAUGAUGACCAAAAGAGGGGAAUUGUUAAUUAAGCAAGGAGGCCAUUAGACUGAGGUGGCUCUAAUGCUGUGGUGGCCUAUGUAAACAAACCAAAAUCUAAGCCUCUAAAUGCCUCGAGGUUACAAAAUCAAAACUCUAAGGACCACCAAUCACAAACAGCCAACCAGACUUGAAGCUAUAGUCAAUCAAUAAUUUCCUUACUUCUGCCUCUUCUCUAUAAAAGUCUGCCUGAGCUCCUGACAGUGAAGCACUCCUAGCCACCUCGUUUGGCACUGCCAGAUUCCAACAGAUGUUUGCUCAAAUAAACUCAAAAAUUUUAAUACACUUUAGUUUAUUGUUUAACAAGUGACUUCCUCUCUGGAGCUUUUUAUGACACUCUCCCUCCUCCUCGGGGGAUGUAAGCACUUGUGUCUGCUCUCUUCUAAACCGGCUUUAUCAGAGCACGUAUGAGGCUUGCACUUGCUUGCAUGCUCCUCUGCCCCUCCUGAAAUGUGUCCUCUUUGAGGCCGGGGACAAUAUCUGUAUUCUAUUCUGUGUGUUUAGCAUCUAGCACACAGGAGGCUCAAUAAAUAUUUGUUGAAUGAAUGAAUGGGGGAGGAGAAAUGAUCCAGAAAUGCCUAAUAUUAAUAACAAGCAUUUACCCAGGACUAAUUAUACGGCAGGCAUUACACAAAGGCAUGUAUGCUGAAUGGACUGAUUUAUUCCUAAGACAGCCCUAUGAAGUAGGAGCCACUAUUAUCUUCACUUUAAAUUUAAGAAAA